GGCUCUCUGACAAAAACAUAUAGAGAGUCGAACCUGCCCAGUGAACAGUUUAACGGCCGCGGUACCCUGACCGUGCAAAGGUAGCAUAAUCAUUUGCCUUAUAAUUGAAGGCUUGUAUGAAUGGUCUGACGAAAGCAAUACUGUCUCUUCUUUAUUAUCUAGAAAUUAACCUAUGGGUGAAGAGGCCUAUAUUAUAUUGAAGGACAAGAAGACCCUGUCGAGCUUUAGAGUAAAGCAGGAAUAUAAGUAUUAAAAAAAAAUCAAUGACUACAUAACUCUUUAGUUGGGGCGACUAAGGAACAAAUAAAGCUUCUUUUAGUUUUUUAGAUCAAUAAAUUUAGAUCCAGCAAAGCUGAUUAAAAGAAUUAGUUACCGCAGGGAUAACAGCAUAAUCUCUCUUGAGAGACCUAAUCGAAAGAGGGGGUUGUGACCUCGAUGUUGGACUAAAAUAUCCUGAAGAUGCAGACGUCUUCGAAGGUUGGUCUGUUCGACCAUUAAAAUUUU
rnacentral:rRNA from 1 species